GACGAACGCUGGCGGCGUGCUUAACACAUGCAAGUCGAACGAUGAAGCGCUGUCUUUGUGGCGGUGUGGAUUAGUGGCGAACGGGUGAGUAAUACGCGGGCAACCUGCCCCUCUGCUUCGGGAUAAGCUUUGGAAACGGGGUCUAAUACCGGAUGUGCCUGUCUGGUCGCAUGGCUGGGCGGGGAAAGAUGUUUUUCGGCGGGGGAUGGGCUCGCGGCCUAUCAGCUUGUUGGUGGGGUGACGGCCUACCAAGGCGUCGACGGGUAGCCGGCCUGAGAGGGUGGUCGGCCACACUGGGACUGAGAUACGGCCCAGACUCCUACGGGAGGCAGCAGUGGGGGAUAUUGCACAAUGGGCGCAAGCCUGAUGCAGCGACGCCGCGUGGGGGAUGGAGGCUUUCGGGUUGUAAACCCCUUUCGGCGCGGGACAAGG
rnacentral:rRNA from 1 species